rnacentral:lncRNA from 1 species
GAGAUGUUUACAUGGACACAGCAGUGCCUGUCCAGCUGCUCUGAAGGUGACAGGUGGAUGAACAGCUGGUUCCCACCUGCUGGGAUAAGAGAGCAGAUGGAGGAGGGAGCACAGGUGUGGGAAUGUGCAGGUGCCAGACUUCCCCGGAGCAGAUGCCCCAGGUCCCAAUUCACAGAUUUGCUCAUGAUCCACCCUCUCCGUGGCCGUCAAGUCCCGGUAAAGGAUGACUUGGACAUGAUGAACUCUACUGCCUCGUGCACAUUACUUCCAUGCCGUGUCUUUCCUGGAUAACUCGGAGCAGAGCACUCUGUUGGUUGUGUUCAUAACAGACUGGAUGAGGAGGCAACGGCAGAAUCAAGGAGACCAGUUAGAAGGUAAUUGCAGUAAUCCAGGGACAAGAUGAUGGUGGCUCAGACUAACAUGGUAUCAUCAAAGAGGAUGAAUGUAAUGUCAUGUUACAUGGCUGUGGCUGUCUUCGAACAUCUCUCAUCAAUCCUUCUCCAAACUCUUCGUUAGCUCCUCAGCUGAUUCCUCACCUGCAAAGACGGCGGUAACCACCUCCUGCUCUUCUCUGAAACACAGAAAAACCUCGUUGCUCUAUGACUUCAACUAGUUCCUCCAGAAGAAUGACUUAUAAAUCAGAGGACCUAAUCUAGGUUAUCCAGCAGCCUCCACCUACCCAUUAAUGUUCCAGCUGAGGUCCUACAAGGAUCCAAAACACUUUUUAAACUAAAUUUAGAGAUUUUUCUCGUUGGAAAUAUGGCACGCUAAAUAUUGCGAAGAAUUCCUGCUAUGUAACAUCAAAAAAUACUCAAUAGAAAAUAUUUUUGAACUGCCAUUUUAAAUGAAUUAAUGAGCUUGCAAGAAAUCUGCUGAAGUCUACAUAAAGCCCACAUACUUGGAAUAAUUUCACCCCAUCCCUGAUGGGGUCAAGAGUUCAAGCGAACAUUCAAGAAAGAAAUUAUUUUUAUCUUACAUAAUCUCUUCCAGAGAAUAGAAAAGAGGAAUUACUUUCUGACUUUUUUAUUAACCUGAAAACCUUGAUACCAAAACUUGACAAAUAAGAAUGAAAAAGGAGUAUUAGAAUUAAACAUCAUUUAAGAAUAGAGAUAGAAAGACCUUAAAAAACAAUGAAGCACUGGAUCCAGCACUCAAUGAAAACAAGAUCAUAUGAGGUCAUGAAGUAGGGUUUAUUCCAGGAAUGCAAAGUGGAUUUAAUAUUGUAUAAACAAUUAAUGCAAUUUCCGCAGGAACAGACGAAUGGAGUAAACCACAGGACCAUUUUACUAGAUGCAAAAAGAAUUUAAUAAAACUAACAUUCAUUCAUGUUGAAAACUCUUAGGAAACUAGAAGGAGAAAAGAAAUUCAUUAAUAUGAUGAAGAGAAUCUACAAAACCAAGAGCA